AAAUUAAUAAGGCUUUAACUAAAAUUGAAAAGUCAAUUAUCAAAUAUUCAUUAUCAUUUUUUUAUAUCAAUAAACUGUAAGUAUGAAGUAAAAUAAUUGUUUAAUUGAGAUGUUUAAGUUACAGGAAUUGCCUUUUAUAAAAAAAGAGAAAAUACUUCCCCAAAUGUUUAAAGUAUGUCUAGACAUUAACUUUAUAUGUCAGGUCAUUAUCAUAAGACAAGAUUAACUCCAAGGAUGACUAAGUGCACACUUAUAUGAAUGUAAAACAAAAGUAAAUACAAAUGUAGAACAGUGUGUUGUAAGGAAAGCAAGAAUGAAGGAUUUUUUUUUUUAAUAAUUUUAAGUAUGAAUAAAUUUUCUUCUUGAAUCUUAAACAUUUAGACUGUGGUGUACAUUUAAAUUCAUUUUAUGCCAGGAAUCUACUGCAAAACAAAUUUUACUAAUCAUACUUUUAUAUUUUUACACUUUGAUGGUAGAACUAUACAGAUGAUUCCAUAUAAAUGACAGUACCAUAAUUGACAUUUAAUCUUUUUUCCUUAAUUUGUAUCAAAAGUUAUAUUGCAACUCUGGGAAAAAUAAUAUUUAAAACAACAUGCAUUCUGUUAAGGACUUUUUGGUUUUGAUGCUUAUUAGUUUUAUGUACAAUAUAUUUGGCUUUCCCAAACUUUUGGUAUCAUAGUCAUGCCCACUGAUAUCUGUAUCAUCCUUAUAUCUAUUCAGGACCACUAGGUUGGUACCCCAAUUGGAGGACAAUUAAUCCUAAAAAGUAUCAUACACCCCUUAUCUGGUACUUUGGUAUAGGUAUGAAUAAAAUAAUAUAGUCCGACUUAAUUGUCAUUUCAUCAAUAUGUAAUACAUGUAAUACUAUAGCUAAGACUUCAACUCUUCCAGGCAAAAUUGUUCAAAGACUUAACUGGCUACUGUGCAUUCUUUAUUAUUUGUAGGAUACCAAAUUUUGUGGACUUCAUGGGUAUAGGUAAACCACAAAUUUAAAUGUUCAACAAGGGACACAUGUUCUGUAGACUUAAAUGCAGACGAAGUCAAAAUAAAAAAUACACAAAAAUGCAAUUUUUCCCCCAAUCCACAAAUAAUAGAUCCCACUAACAUGAAUUCACAGUAUUCCAUAAUCCAGUAACAUCCUUUAUGUGAAUGAAUAUAAAUAAUUAUUACCAUUGAUACCUGUAAGGGCAAUAAAUGAAGGGACAAUUAAAAUACUUCAAAUAUUAAUGCCAUAUACAAACUCAAUUCUUUCAGUUUCUUUAGUGUAAAAAGGUAGUGAAAUGGUGCAAAAUGUAACUCCAUUCCUUAUAAAAACCCAAAAAUCUUUUCAUAAUCUACCCAAAUCUGAUAAUAUGGAGAAGUGGUAUGAUUGCCAAUUAGACAACUAUCCAGUAUUCAUCAGAAUUCCCCGAAAACGUUUUCAUUAAAACAGGAAGUCAUUUAAAUUUUUGAUUUAUUGUGAAAAAAUAUCUAAGGGACGAAUUUAAUUCUUCAGGUUAAGAGUAAUGAUUUAAUGUUAAACCAUUUUCUUGUUAUUAUUUAAAAUGAUUUUUUUUUACUUGGAAUUAUCACCAAUUUAACAAUAAAUAAUGACAUAUUCUAUAUGUAUUAUGUAAAAG
rnacentral:lncRNA from 1 species